rnacentral:rRNA from 1 species
UGCAAGUCGAGCGGUAGAGAGAAGCUUGCUUCUCUUGAGAGCGGCGGACGGGUGAGUAAUGCCUAGGAAUCUGCCUGGUAGUGGGGGAUAACGCUCGGAAACGGACGCUAAUACCGCAUACGUCCUACGGGAGAAAGCAGGGGACCUUCGGGCCUUGCGCUAUCAGAUGAGCCUAGGUCGGAUUAGCUAGUUGGUGGGGUAAUGGCUCACCAAGGCGACGAUCCGUAACUGGUCUGAGAGGAUGAUCAGUCACACUGGAACUGAGACACGGUCCAGACUCCUACGGGAGGCAGCAGUGGGGAAUAUUGGACAAUGGGCGAAAGCCUGAUCCAGCCAUGCCGCGUGUGUGAAGAAGGUCUUCGGAUUGUAAAGCACUUUAAGUUGGGAGGAAGGGCAGUAACCUAAUACGUUGCUGUCUUGACGUUACCGACAGAAUAAGCACCGGCUAACUCUGUGCCAGCAGCCGCGGUAAUACAGAGGGUGCAAGCGUUAAUCGGAAUUACUGGGCGUAAAGCGCGCGUAGGUGGUUUGUUAAGUUGGAUGUGAAAUCCCCGGGCUCAACCUGGGAACUGCAUUCAAAACUGACAAGCUAGAGUAUGGUAGAGGGUGGUGGAAUUUCCUGUGUAGCGGUGAAAUGCGUAGAUAUAGGAAGGAACACCAGUGGCGAAGGCGACCACCUGGACUGAUACUGACACUG